UCCAACCCCUCUGCUCAAGCAGCGUCAGCUAGAGCAUGUUACACAGGAUCACAUCCAGGUCCAGCAGCACACCUCUCCUUGUUGGCUCAUCUACCACCUGUGUCAAGAAGUUAUCCUCAGUGUUCUGCAGUAACCUCCUAGACUGUUCUGAGCUGUGUUGUCUUCCCAGCAAAUAUUGGGGUAGUUAAAGUCCCCCAUAAGAACCAGGACCUGCAAACAUGAGGCAACUUGCAGCUGCCUGUAGAAGGCCUCAUCCCCUUUCUCUUCCUGAUCCACUGGCCUGUAGUAAACACCCACCACAACAUCACCCCUGUUGGCCUGCCCCUUAAUCCUCAUCCAUAGGCUCUCGAUCCACACUUUGUCUGCCCCUAGGCAGAGCUCCAUACGUUCCAGUUGCUCACUCACGUAAAGAGCAACUCCACCACCUCACCUUCCUGGCCUGUCUUUUCUAAAAAGCACAAAGCCAUCCAUGGCCACAUUCCAGUCAUGAGAGCUGUCCCACCCUGUCUCAGUAACUGCAAUGAGAUCAUAGCCCUUCAACUCUACGCACACUUCCAGUUCCCCUUGUUUAUUUCCCAUGUUGAGUGCAUUUACAUACAGGCACGAGUUGGGCUCCCAAGGCAUCCGCCUUUCUAGAUGGGGCAGCUGUAGCUCAUCCAUGUGGGCCUCUGGUAGCUCUCCUGUUAAGCUUGAUUCCUUUUCUGGGCUCUGAGUAUCCUUUGCCUGCUCUGGUGUUCAGCUGGCAUGAGUGGGAUAUUCUUUCUAUAUCCAACAGGAAAUAAAUUUCACAAGCAGUUUAUUU